GACCGAAUAAGUGAAAAUCAAAGCAACAAAAUGUUUGAUGAGGGCUUACGGGGAAAUGAGGAAAUGGACUACAACUCGAGUAGUUGCGGUGACAUUGUUGAGAGCAGAGCCUUGGACAGACUGUAUGUGGCCUACAACAUCUACAAAUAAAUAAACUGGUUUGAAAUGGUAACAACAACAACCAAAGCUCUCUUGUCCAAAAAAUAAGCUUCUUCAUUCCAAAGAACCUAUGCAUCCACGCUAGCCUUAGUACCAGUUACAAUAUUCCACGGAUAAAACUACAAUUCAGACCCAAAAGAAACAAAGGAAGAAAAAAAUAGAUGAACUCCAAGCAUUUAGAUGGGACUUACUUCUCUCUCAGGCUUGGGAACACAACAUUUGACUAAGCAUCAUUUGAUUAUUGUCCUCAGCUUCCCUAUACAUAUGUUCCAGUCAGAGAAUAGAUUAGUUCCAAAAUGGGGAAUC
rnacentral:lncRNA from 1 species